AGAGGGAUAGCUGGGUCAAAUGGUGGUUCCAUUCCUAGAUUUCCAAAGAAUUUCCAUACUGCUUUCCAAAUUGGCUGCACCAAUUUGUUAUCCCACUAGCAGU
rnacentral:pre_miRNA from 1 species